UUUUCUCUUUGUUGUUUGUUCUUUGGGGUUAUGGGUAUUAUGGUUUUAGUUAUUUCUUGGUCCUUAAAGAGUCUUUGCGAAGCUUGAUAUUUUGUUUAACCGGUGGAAUAAUAAUGGGCGUUUGGUUUGUUGGCACUUCAGGUCUUUAGAGAUGGCUUUCAUAAUUGUCUCUGUUAUAUAUUCUGGCGUUUUUAUUUUAUAUGGGAUGUGUGGAAAGGUAUUUGUGGCUAUGUGGGUUGAUAGCUUUAAUCUCAUGUGGACGUUGCUUUCUGUAUGGGGAAGAUGGUUAUGUUGUUUUUGUUUAUACCAGGCACAGACUAAGCUAGUGUAUAGUUAUUUUGAUUACAGGGCUGACCAAGUGCUCAGGCAGGAGUGGACAAGUAAUGUAGUGAUUAUGGAAUGGAGAAUAAGGCUACAAAGGUAUGGCAUUCUGGUCUACAGACAGAAGGACAUGACAAUUAUUGAUGACUUAAUGAAGCUAAGGGAUUACAC
rnacentral:lncRNA from 1 species